CAGGCAGCGAUCCGUGAGUGCUGCAACCAACGAGGAGUGAAGACGUGUUACCCACGGGGUUACGAGCACACAGGUAGAGGCGCUCCCCAUGGUGGAAAUCAGUUCCCAGCCUUCUACCCCAAUGCCAUUUCUGCAUAAGAAACUUCAAAUUACCACCGCUGGAUCCCCUGAAAGCUAAAGGCAACCACAGAAAACCACCCCAAGUAACCAAUCUGGGCUCUGGGUACGAGGAAGACCCCGCAGCCGAAGCUGAAUUUGACCAGGAUUCCAGCCACGUCUCAGGCUCAAACUGCUAGAGAAGGGGCUGGGAAACGGGCUGGGACGACAUGGCCAAAGCCACCAACCAACAUGGCUGUCCUGGCUGUGCCGAGCCCAGCAGUGACUUCUGCAGAACAUCGACGGUAAGUGGAGCCACCCAGGUACAGGAGCUGAUUUCUCAGAGAAAUAACCUUAUUUCUCAAUGAAAAUGGAAGCCCUCGCUCCCCGGGUGGCAUGGGAAAGCACUGACAGAGUCUUUGUUACACAGCCUGCUUCCCAUACUGUUUGUCACUGAAUCCCCGUUUGUCUUGUUAGCUUCAUCUUGGCAGCGUCCCUGUAAGCCUGGGGAAGUUAAGCUCUUCCAUGGCAUGGGCUGCUCUUCACACUGACUGCGUCUCUGCUCGAUACCAGACCAGCUCAGUCUGUUACCUGAACCAGAGCAGCAUCUCGACAUAAAAAAUGCUCCCAGAGAAAAGCUGCAUGAUACUGGAGUUGGCAGUGAUUUCCUGAAUGUGACACCAAAGGCAAGGUAAUACAAGUUGGACUGCAUCAAAAUUAAGAAAUGCAUCAAAGGACACUACCAACAAUGGUAAAAGGCAACCCAAGAGUGGGAGAAAGUAUUUGCAACUCAGAUAUCUAAUGAAGGGCUCAUAUCUAAAAUAUACAGAGAACUCCUAAAAAUCAACAACAAAAAAAUCAAAUAGCCCAAUUAAAAAAUGCACAAAGGACCAAUAGACAGUUGUCCAAAGAUGUACAAAUGGCCAAUAAGCACAUGACAAGAGGCUUGACAUCACUCGUCUUCAGGGAAAGUCAGUACCACCUGACUCUCAUUAGGAUGGCCACUACCCAACAUGGAAGGUGAGUGCUGCUGAGGAUGUGGAGAAAUUGGAACCCUUGGCAUUGCAGGCGGGAAUGUAAAAUGGUGCAGCCACUGUGGAAAACAGGGCGGGUCCUCAAAAAAUUAAACGGAGUUAUUUAACCCAGCAAUUCGACUUUGGGGCACAUACCCGACAGAAUUGAAAACAGGGGCCUGCACGGACAUUAGUCCAUCUGUGUUCACAGCAGCCAUAUUCACAACAGACAAAAGGUGGGAGCAACCCAGAUGCUCACCGAUGAAUGGAUAAACAAAACGUGGUGUAUUCAUACAAUGGAAUAUUACUCAGCCUUGAAAAGGACACCUGCUACAACACGGAUGAACUUCGAAGAAUAUAUGCUAAGUGAAAUAGGCCAGACACAAAAGGACGAAUAUGGUAUGAUGUCCCCAGAGUAGUCACAUUCAUAAGACAGAAAGGACAAUAGUGGUUACCAGGCCCGGGGGACAGAGGACUGGGGAACAAAAUUUACUCCAAGAGACUGGGGAGCUAACAACAACAAAAGCCCCGCCGUAGGCUGCUCCUGGGCCUUAACCCAGCUAGGAGCCUGCUUUGUAGUUAAGUCCUACAGACAUUUCCCAGGACGUGGGAGUUGAAAGGGUAUUUUUAUCAUUAAAGCUGAGGCCACAAGCACGAAGCCCGUAGACUACAUUCAAGCAGCACAUAUUUUUUGUCUGGCUUAAAUGAUAUUUAAGAAAAUUGGGGCCAGCCUAAGAAAAUUGGCAGAUUUCUCGAUUCUCAAAACAAAAAUAUCAGAAGCUCUGGCAACACUGGGUCCAUAUUCCUAUGGGUGAACAACUGAGCUGCUGCCAUCAGAGCAUGGUUCCCACUCCAGCUGGUGACACUCAAGCUCACAUCACUAAUAUUUGUUAUCUGAUUGGCCCCGGGAGGCACCUGAGUUUCCAGUGCACAUCUACAAGGUCAGACUCAGGGCUUUCU